CUUUACUGUAUCCUAAAAUUGGAUUUGGGUUUAUUUUGCGCAGCAUAGGUGGGAGGCAAAGAUAUUAUAUUUGAGGAUAUAAAGGAGCCACUAGUGAGAUACCACUCUAAUUAAACUAGAAUUCUAAUCUUGAUGCCGUUAUCCGGCCAAGAGACAUUUUUAGGUGGGCAGUUUGACUGGGGCGGUCGCCUCCUAAAAGGUAACGGAGGCGUGCAAAGGUUUUCUCAGGCUGGUCGGAAAUCAGUCGUAGAGUGUAAAGGCAUAAGAAAGCUUGACUGCGAGAUCUACAAAUCAAGCAGAGACGAAAGUCGGCCUUAGUGAUCCGACAGUACUGAGUGGAAAGGCUGUCGCUCAACGGAUAAAAGUUA
rnacentral:rRNA from 1 species